GACGAACGCUGGCGGCGUGCUUAACACAUGCAAGUCGAACGGAAAGGCCCUGCUUGCAGGGUACUCGAGUGGCGAACGGGUGAGUAACACGUGGGUGAUCUGCCCUGCACUUCGGGAUAAGCUUGGGAAACUGGGUCUAAUACCGGAUAGGAACCAUCUUUAGUGUGGUGGUUGGAAAGUUUUUUCGGUGUAGGAUGAGCUCGCGGCCUAUCAGCUUGUUGGUGGGGUAAUGGCCUACCAAGGCGGCGACGGGUAGCCGGCCUGAGAGGGUGUACGGCCACAUUGGGACUGAGAUACGGCCCAGACUCCUACGGGAGGCAGCAGUGGGGAAUAUUGCACAAUGGGCGCAAGCCUGAUGCAGCGACGCCGCGUGGGGGAUGAAGGCCUUCGGGUUGUAAACUCCGUUCGCUAGGGACGAAGCUUUUUGUGACGGUACCUAGAGAAGAAGCACCGGCUAACUACGUG
rnacentral:rRNA from 1 species